rnacentral:rRNA from 1 species
UACGUAGGGUGCAAGCGUUGUCCGGAAUUAUUGGGCGUAAAGAGCUCGUAGGCGGUUUGUCGCGUCUGCUGUGAAAACUCAGGGCUUAACCCUGAGCCUGCAGUGGGUACGGGCAGACUAGAGUGUGGUAGGGGAGAUCGGAAUUCCUGGUGUAGCGGUGGAAUGCGCAGAUAUCAGGAAGAACACCAACGGCGAAGGCAGCUCGCUGGGACGGUACUGACGCUGAGACGCGAAAGCGUGGGGAGCGAACAGG